UUUCUUAUAAAAUUUGUUAAUUCAUAUUUAAAUGAUUUUAUGUCCUCAGAUUUAAAGGAUACAGACAAAAUUAAGAUCUUGCCACCCCAAAUCAGCAUAAUAUUUUACUGUUUUUACUGCACACACACACACACACACACACACACACACACACACACACACACACACACAGCUACAAACAUAUGGGCCAAAUGGUCAUUUUUAAAACAAUAUUUUUAUGAAUUCUUUAAUUUCAAACAAUUUAUUUUGAAUACAUUCAUCACUUUCUCAGCUCCUAUCAGAGCCACCCUGUCUGCCCUUGCAUCCCUCCCAACCCAGAUUUUACUUUUUUUCCUUCCUCUCCUCUAUGCCCAUUGAGUAUAAUUGUUUCACCUAUUUUAUCUUGGAGGCAGACCUUCUGUGGUAUCUAGUCAACAAACUAGGGUUUACAUCGGUAAAGAAAACUGUUCCUCUCCCUUCAGCAAUCAGAUGUCAACAACUUCUGUUGGGGCAGGGUUUCAUGUCCCCAUUCUCUGCUCAGUGAGCUGUGCAUUAUUCUUGCUUGUAUUUGUCCAGAACUUUUAAACAUAUUGUCAAUUGAGAAAAUAAUUUUAGGAAGGCAGGUAGAAAGGAUACUUCAAACCAAAAGGCAUGGAUUUUAUGAUGUCAUUAAUCAUGGUGGUAUCUCAUGAUGAUGAAGGCAUUUUAAAUCCAAUAUGCUUUUUUUUUCAAGUAUAUGAGUCACUUAAUAAAUUAAUGCCAAAUUAAUUCAGAGUUGUAAAUCUCAGUAAAAGAAAAUAUCCGUAUGUUGGAUCACACAGUGAAUCAGGACAAAUUAGCUAAAAGUUCUGUUAUUCCUUCCAGAAGGUCACUGUGUAAGGGAAUUCAUUUCACAUGUAAGGAAAUCAGUGUCAAGUGGCGCUUACCUCUGUUCUUCUGAAACAUCCUACAUCUCUUGUCCUUCGUAAGGAUUCCUUCCCUCAGUUAUCCAAGCAUCUAUAUACAGAUUUGCUACAUACUUGGCAUUUUUUAUUUUUCUGUACUGUAUCAACCAUCGCUCAUCAUUUCUAUAUUUAUGUGUGUAUUCAUAAGGAGAGGGAGGGAGGGAGAGAGAGAGAGAGGGAGAGAGAUCUCAACUUGGAUUGUUCACCCAAAUGUUUAUGGGUCUCUAUGAAUUCAAUACAUUUGCCUCUUUUUAUCUAACUGAAAGGUGAGAGAACCUUAAUAAACCAUCAUCAAAAACUUCGCCAUCUCUACAGUUUACAAUUCUAAAUUAAAAUCUGAAAGUUUUAGGGAAGUAUUUUUAUUAUGCUACAUGAUAGAAAGAGUGUGUAUAUACUAGCAUAGUAUUUAUAGAUAUUGAUUUUGCUGUCAAUUAUUAAUUUUAUUAUGGCCUUGCUUGUUUAAUGAUAAUUGCUUCAAGUUUAAAAGCAAAACCACAAAAACAUUUUGGAUUGUUAUAAACAGCAGCAUUCCUUUAUUUAUUGCUUUUUGAAGUAGAACUUUAUCUUUCAGUUUGAAACAAAAUUUACAGAGUAUACAUUCAAUUUUUGUUUCUUAUAAAAACCAAUAAAAUUAUCUUUAUCAUUAUGCUUAAGUGUUCUAGGAUUACUCUAUACAAAUAUUUUUAUCAGUGAAAGAUUAAAUGUCUUUGCUUUAUUCUUUACUAGGAAACAUUAAUUCUUUUUUAUAGCUCAAUAUAUGUUUAUUUGGUAUGCUGACAUAUACUGUCUAGUGAUAUUCAAAUAUAUAUCCACUCAUCUAAUCCUGGAAUGUAUGUACACAUAUUUAGGAUAGCUCAAAUAUAUGUACUGCUGUGAGAUGUUAGGAAACUUCCAGAUUUCUCUCCAUCUGCAUUGUGCUGAAAAUGAAGCUCAUUGCAUCCAUCACAGUCUUUUAAGAAGCCGUGGAAUUGUUUAGUCAAGUUUCAAGUUUUCCUUUAAUGUUUUCAUGAAAUCUGAAGCAAAUGCCCAUAAUUGUGAGAACAGUACCAAGAAUGAAGGGCAGUAGGCAAUGGAGUCAGGUGAGGAAUUCCAAACUCUGUAGAUUAGCAUCAGGGUGCAGAUCAGAGUUUGUUUCCGGCACAUAAGCUUAUAUACAUGUAUUUGAGUCUAACCCAAUCCCCUAAAUUCUUGGCCAGUCAUAUCUUGCCAUGCCAUCACUGUGCCCCAUUGAAAGUCCUGCUUGAUGAGGUAACAGAAAAAUCUGGAGAUGGGGAGUGGGGGAGGCAUCUUCGCCUGUUAGGUCUUCCAUGAAGAUGGAGAAGCAGCCAACACCCUGGACCUUGGUUCUCUUUUGCUGUCUCAUCAGUGUUCUGGGAGCCAUCAAAGAUCUAAUGCCAUGAACAGCAGAUCAGAACUCUUCAAGGAGCCUUUGGCUCCUUGCUCUCCACCCCACUUUUUCCUUCAAAACGUUGACUUCCUCACCCCCCACACAUAUGCUAAUUCAGUGUGACCAUCGCUGGACCCUCCUUCUUCAGGGGUCUUAAAGAAAUCUACAUAUUAUUAUAUUUGCAAUCUUUGUGCAUGGGAGGAAGAGGGUACUUUCUACCCCGUGUUGCAGGUCGGUACUUGAGCUUGUUAGAUUUCACAUUGAAAGUUAAAAUUGUAUAGUCAAAAUAUUAUACUGAAUUUUCCAAGGUGUCAGUUCUCUUUAUUUUUUUUAGAAUGUAUUUGCUACAAGAUAUCUUAUCCUGCCAUGUGGCAGACCCUUCCACAGAUGAAAUGAGGAGGAUAUUAGUGAAUUCUCUAAUGAAAUAUAUAAUUUGUUAUAUCAUAAAUUGAAUUCAGUUAUUUAACAACCAACAAUUGACUGAUAACACUCUGUUCAAGUUAUGAAUAUUUGUAUAAGGCAUAAAAUUUAAUUUAAAUCUAAAUAUACAAAUUAAUCCUACUGGUAAAGGUAACUUUUAUUUAAAAGUCUAUAAAGCUAUUUCAUAGGCAACUAUAAAAAGGAUAGAAAAGUAAAUAAACACUAGAUAAGCAAUUAUAAUAAAGGCUGAAACACUUAUACUUUCCUGUGCUUCACAAAAUUCUAGACUAGCAGUCUUUAGUCAUGUGCAGUUCAUUUCUUUCAGCUGCAUGGUAUUCUAUUUCUAGGAAUCAAAGUGUAGAUAAGUUGACAGAGUGCAUACUCACAGGACUGUUGGAACCUCCAAGUGAGGCCUAUUAAUGUAAAUGUUAAAAUAAAUCAAAGGUGAAAUAAAACUGAAACAACUAGAGAAUUUUAUUAACAACUUUUCUCUUUUAAACAUUGACUACCGUUUUAUAAAUUUGCAUCUUUGUCUAUACAAUGGUUUUCUUGACUUUGUUUAUUAAUUGCAGAUAAAGGAAGAUAGCUGACUAGGACAAAAUACAUUGUAAGGCUGCUGAUAUUGUUCAGUUUCUUUCUAGUAAUAAACAUAACUUAUUGUAUAUUAGAUGCACAACUUUAAUUUAUGUAACAUAUAUCAUGCAUAUUAUGAGAGCUGUAAUUACACUAAUUAUAGUAUAAUAAUUACACGAACUAAUUUUGUUUCUGUUCCUUCUUACUUGGAAGAAAAUAUGCACUCAGUAAUAGUAUAGAUUUUGUUACUUUAACCUUGACAAGAACAUGUUGACCGUUUACUGCUUGAAUUACUUGCAUAUUAAAGCAAUGUGUAGAGCCCGCCAUCUCAGAAAGCCUUUUUGGCAGUUCAGUGUGAUGUGUACUGUUGCCUGACUACCCAUGUUCAUCUUAAUCCUGCCUGUUUAUUGCUGUCUGAGCAAAAGCAGAACGCAUGCUUCUGCAUUUCUGAAUUCCAACUGUUCUGGACCAAUUUUAGAACUCAUCCUUUUCUUUAUUCAUUAGGACAAACCAGCAACUACUUAUUCCAGGAGAAACUGGUAACAUUGUGAGGUUGCUAAUUCCUCAACCUGUCUUACUUGGCACAUAUUUCAUAUGAUUUGAGGUUGGAUUAGUGAUUUCAAGGGUAGUGCUGAAGAGGAUGUAGGCUAGCCCUUAUUGCUGAAAACACCACUUGGUAUGGAUGCUAGACUCAGGAUCUGAGCUUAAUCUGACAUGAAGGCCUCCUCCCUAUGAAAUAAUUUUCAUGUCCUGGAGUAGCUGUACCAGCUGGCAAAGAAGGUAAGCAUCCAACAGUGUUACCCAGUUUUGGAACUGACAAACUACAAUAACAAGCAUGGCAAAUUUACAUCUCUACAGAUACAUUGGUGGCAAUCGUAUUGUGAUAUUCAAAAGCUCUCUAAACCAUGAUUUUUAAUACUGUUGCUCAUUUUGUAUAUUGCUGUAAAAUUAUAUUCAAUAUUAUUUUAGUAAUUGUGCUGAGGAGCGAUUAUUGUUAAAAUGUCAAAUAAUUUAUAGACUAAAAUGAAGAUGAAAAGAUAUUUCAAUAAUAAAUGACUAAUCUGGAAAUAGAAAGAAAAUUUCAAACUGUAAACAAUACAAAUAGUAUACCAGAUGGGUUUCAUAGCAAUAUGCUGACUGCUGAGAAAAUAACAUGAGUUAAUAAUGUGGCAAAAGUUUCAGCAGGUUAAAUGAAAAAAUGUUUUCUACCCAACACUAUGUAACAGAGGUAGAUUUUUCUUUUUUUAUAUCCUAGAACAUCUGAAGAUCAGGCAUAAAGAUAGGAAGUCGGGGUCUUUGUUUAUCCUGCCUGUUCUUAGUAUGCACUGAGUGUUACAGAGAAACAAAACAAAACAAAAUACUGUCACAUAUGGGUAUAAAUUAUCCGGUUGUUAUCUUACCAUAUACAUGUUGCCCUCCUGUGCAAUGAUAACAUUCAACAAACAGUGAUAGCAUACAGGUUUUCAGACAAAGCUUUUGCAGUGGAGGUUGAAAAUUAUGUUUAUUUUUAAAACCUAUUCAUGUAUCCAGCUAUUUGGGAAGUAAAUAUUGAUAAGCAAUUUGCAUGUUCUUCAAAAGGUGUGUCUUUAUAACUAUAUAGAAAAACAAUAUUAGACUAGGUAUACUGAGUAUGCCAUCGUUGCUAUGUAUAUGACGAUGAUUCAUAAAUGGGGGAGAAUCAGUGUUUCUUGCUUUCAAUCACUGAUGGUUCUGUGUCAAAUCACUAUGAUUCUUUUAAGAGAUAAUCUUACUCAUCUUUCCCAUUCUCUCCCCCUAAAUAGACAAUCAAUUUGAAAGUUCCCUGAGGACAAUUGGAAGCAUUUAUAAGAAGCAAUGUGUAUUUCCUGCUUUGCCUUUUCCCAAAUGAAAUAAUCUUACAGAUUCAGCUACAGAAGCCAUAACUCACCAGCCAUUGCUGGCAUCUCUCUUUACUCAGGCUCCACAUAUCUUUUCCUGGUGUGUUGAUAUAAGGCACUUUAUUCAAGUAAUAGUUUAGUGUCAUUUGAGCUGGAGAAAUUUUCACUUUCUGCAUCAAAUCAGAGGUAUGGAGGAGGGACAGUAGUGAGAAGUUUAUAUAUCUCUAGGACUACUUAUAUCAUGUGUGCAGAACUCAAGGCAAAUAGGAGUCACCUAUCCAUUUCAAAUAUGUUGAAGUCAAGUAUGAGCAAUCAAAACAACCCAAAACAAUAUUGGUGGGUGUAUUACACCACUCAGUAGGGACAUGCAAAGACUUAUUCCUUAGAGAUAUUUAAGGAUUUUUGUUUCUCCUUUGGUAAUAGGAACACAUUUUUUCUAGAGAAAUUGAUAGAUUAAAAAAGGAGGUUGGGUAGUUGAGAUGACACAUAGAAUGUAUCACUAUGUUCUAACUGUCACACAUAUUGCAAGCUUGGGUUUAUUUCACCUUACGACAAAGCUUUGAGAAACAAGUUCUGUAUCUAGCUGUAGAAAAGGAUUGCCAAGAAACACACACACACACACACACACAAAUUAUUUAAUAGUAUGUGAUGACAUGCUUCUACAGUUGUUUCAGAAAAUGCUUUCUUGAUCUCUAAUUUUUUCUAAAAUCUGUGAUUUAUUAGAUCUAUUACUUUAAUGGAGCAAAGGGAACUUUAAUUUUAAGAAAAUGAAGAAACACCAUUGGAUGAAACUAAGCAGAUAUAACUACAAGCAGGUAAUUUUUAUUUUUAGAAAUGUACAUUUAUUCACUUGACAAAUGAUGCAGGUAUACUCUACCUACACAUCUGUCUCAUAAACUCAAAUAAAGCUAAGUUGGAAUAAGGUUUCUCUCUCCAUUGGGAAAAAAUAAGCUAGCUUUCUAAAUAUCACCAAUGAAUAAAAUUGCUCUAAAAAUAAAUAAAAGUAUAGAAUGUCUUCACUAAAGUUCUUAGCCAUGAAUAUCUUCUACUAGGGUGGUUGAAACACAAUCCCCAUUGACUAGCAUUUUAAAAUUUACUGUAGAAUAACCUUUGGAAGUUUUUGACUCCUGGAUGAAACUGAUGUAAGCACAAAAUGCUCUCAUGGGUGGUAGGGAUGAAAGGUACAGAUCUAAUUGCUCUUACAGAAGAAGACCCAAGACUAUGAUCUAGAAAACAAAAUAUCAUUAAAUACACAAAAAGUAGUCAUAAAAAAUUUAAAGUACAGGUCAAGGUGAAAUAUUAUUUCAUAAUAGAAAUUAACCAAUAAAACAUAUAGACUAUUAUCUACAUUAAUAUCCUUAAAUAUAUAAGACAAAAACUGGAGAGAUCAGUCAGCUGGUAAAGUGCUCUGCCAUGUAAGCAUAAGGAACCGAGUUUGGAUCUCCAGGACCAGAAUAUAACCAGGUGCUAUCGUGCUCACUAGCAUUCUCAGCACUACGGGUGCUGAUGGGCAGAAAGGAAAAAUCACAAGACUUACUGCUCAGCCAGCCGGACUUAAUGCUGGUACUGUGUCAGUGAGGGAUGGUGUCUCAAAUUCAUUUGGAGGGUGACAAAAAACUAGACAUUUGCCCUUCAAAUGUAUAUGUGUGUAUCAUGCAUACCUGCACAUUAUGCACUAUAUAGCUGUGCAUACCUGAACAAAUGUAUACAAUAUAUCACACAUAAAUAUAUAGAGAAAUAAACACAAAGGAAUUGAAAAAUACGUCAAAAUCAAAAGCAUCUUUAAAUACAUUCCUGUUAUAUUAGAAAUAAAACAAGUUGACUUUCUGGAUAUAGAAAGCAUGGUACUUGUACUUGUAGUAACUUUUAAAUGUAUUCAUCAUCAUUAUUAUUAAUUUAUUUAAUAUUUGUGGAUGUGUAUAUGAACACACAUUCCACAGCAAGGGCAUAAAGUCAGAGGAAAGCUUCCAGGGUUCAGUUGACUCUACCAUAUAGAACCAGUGCCUCAGGUCAUCAGGCUGGGCAGAAAAUGCCUUUAUCACUGAAUCAUGUUGCCAUCACCAAUAGCACAUCUUUAUAAAUGGAUUUAUUAUCUUGGGAAAAUGGAGAGUAGAUGAUACUAAAAUAAAAGUAUGGGAAGUGCUGGUUAAAGAUACAGAAUUGUAGUUACAUAGAAACAUUAAUUAAAAUCUAGAAACCUAAUAAUGAGUAUCAUGGCUCUAUGUGAAAGUUUCAGUUUUGGUACUCGAGGAGGACACUGAGGCAGACGGUUCUUCUGUAGUAAUAGAAUUACCAGAACCAUAAUUAAUGUCAUGAGCAGACAGUCAGACAGUCAGACAGUCAGACAGGUAGACACAGGCAGACAGGCAGACAGUCAGACACAGGCAGACAGGCAGACACAGGCAGACAGGCAGACAGGCAGACACAGGCAGACAGGCAGAUAGGCAGACACAGGCAGACAGGCAGACAGGCAGACAAACACAGUUUCUGAAAAGAGUUCAAGUACAUGCUGGCAAAAUGUCAAUUUCUUAAGUUUUUCCAGGAGAAAGAAUGGAAAUGAGAUUGAAAAAUCCCACAUUUUUGCUCCUAUGUAGACCAGGACUAGGAAUCAACUGGAGAUAAAUAGGACAGAGUGAACAAGAAUCUAGUAAAAAUUCAAGUUACUAAUUCUGGAAACCAAAUUGGCUUGUUUCCAGAAUUGUCACAAUACAACUGUAUGGAGAAACUUAGCACCAUGCCAUGGCUCUGUAUAGCAUGACAUACAUACAAUUGUCCAUCAGUGUCCAUGAAUGAUGAUUCCAGGAAACCCGCAUGGAAGGAAAUACGGAGUCUCAUGUUUCAGUGCUGAAUAGUAUUUAACAUGUCCUACACAUAUCCUUUCAAUGUUAUAAAUCAUUCUUACAUUGCUAUGGUAACUGAGACAAGUUUACUGCUAAGUAAACAUUAUAUUCUAUUGUUCAGAAUGACAAGGAAAAAAAAAAAAAACUUCUGACAUGGUUAGUACAGAUAAACUUUUCUAUAGAGGAAUUUUAAACCAUCGGCCUGUCUGUUUUGGCAAAGGAUUCCCUCUAAAAACUAUAUGGUCUAUAUGACCCACUUGGAAUGAAAACAUGCCCAGGAUUGCAGUAAGAUCUGGUUGAAAUAUACACCCUUAGUACAUGCCUUUAAUUCCUAAUAAUGAAAGUAAGGUUAGUUUGUAGAAGGAAGUUGCUGUGUUUAAAUGUGGGCAAAGUGAUGAAUGAGAGAAAAGUAGUCAGAGAUAGGAUAUGCCUAACUCACAUAAAAUAACAAGGAAAAUGGAUGAUACAUAAAAUGAGAGAGAGAGAGAGAGAGAGAGAGAGAGAGAGAGAGAAUACUGUGUGUUUAUAUAUAGCAGUUUGUUGGGACAGUUUUACAAAGACAGGAGAAGAAAAGAUGAACCAGAGGAUAAGAAGGAGCCAGAAAAUUGUACAUAUUGUCAAUGUGGUGACCAUGAGGACAAGAACAAUCUAGUCAAAAACUGAGAGAAGCCAUAUUGAAUCAGUCAGCUCAGAAUAUUAAAUUAUAUGGACUCAGUGAGCAGGAAAGUUAGUGAGGGAAGGGGAGCUAACCUGUAUGGUUCAGGCUGCUCAUUUAUGAUGAAGGGGGGCAGAGAGAUGAGGGGAGAAUGGAGGUAAAGAGGCAAUAGUAGGAAACUUAGGGCAGCUUGGCAUGCACCCAGAGGGCUCAGCAGGCAGGAACUUUAUUAACUUAUUAAAUGUUUUUCUACAAAAACUUUCAACAAUUCAGACCCAUAGAGACCAUUGUAACUGCAGAAUUUGUGACCUUAUUAUUUCUUCCUGUUGACAUCAAUAUAGAAGAAAACAUUGAAAGCUUAUUUUAUUUUCCUCUCAUGACUGACAUAAGACUUUUUAAUACCUUUAAGUAUAAAUUUAAUAAAAGCCUAGAAUAUCAAUUAGUGAAUUGUUUUAGUCAUAUUGGCCUGCAGGCAAGACUAUAGGAGCAUUUACUUGAUUGCCUAUUGAUGUUGGAGGCUACAGCUCACUGUGUGGGGAGUACCAUCCCUGGCCAGGUGAUUGUCAGCCUUAUAAAAGGAUGUUGAUAAUGAACCUGGAACCUGGGUUGUAACUUCGGAUCCUCCAUGUUCUUUACUUCAGUUCCUGCCUUAGGUUUCUUCUUUGGUGGCCUGCCUUGGCUUCAUUUGAUGAUGGAAUGCAGACUAUAAGAUGAGAUAAACCAUUUCUUUCCCAGGUUAUUUUGACAAAAAGUGUUUGUUUAGAGAAACAUGAAACAGACUCAGAGUCCCUGAAGCAGAUCAACAUGAACAGUAAAAGCUCCUACUUUCUCUGUGUCUAUGAAUACAGAGGAAGGAUAUGCUCAGAAAGGAACAGUUCUCCUGGAGCCCUAGAUGAUAUAGUCUACAAAGUCCAGGAAAUCUUCAAUACUACCUCAGCCUCAGAUAAACUACAAUGACUUCAUGAAGUCUUCAGAUCUUAAUUUCUAUGACUGACCACUGAGGAUAAUUGAUUAUAUUUGCUGUCCUCUCCCUCAUUUUGGCCAGUACUGCCUUAAUUAACUCUAAAACUAUAAGAUUUUCAUGUUCCACAGCUUUGCUAAAAUGAAGAUAGCGAACACUUGAAUCUAAUCCGGAACCUGAAUUUUUUCAAUUAUGAAAGUCUUAUAGUUAUGCCAAUGUUGUUGGUCCACACAGGCAUUUAAUUAACGUAUCUGAAAUAGGAAAAUAUUUUAAAGCAUUCUUAAAAUAAUUCUUUUAAUCAGUAUAUUUUAUUUAGUGAAUGUGCAAAUACUCAGUUCAUGAGAAAACAGCUGACAUGUAACUUUUCAAGAAAUAUUAAUUAUAGUACAUUCCUCUAAUUGCUUAAUAUAGUUAAUCUCACAUAUACACUGAAGUUAGUAAAGCUUUUAACCCACUUUUUGAAUGGAAUGAUAAAAGGGAUCAUGAUAUAUAGGAAGCAAAGACGUGGGUAACUAUGGAUUUGGUAGUUAUGAGACAUGUCUAUUUUUUUCAAUAAUUUAUUCAUUUUACAUCCUUUCACAGUUCCCCUCCAUUCUCUCCUUCCAGUCUUACCCUUACAAAAAUCCUUCCCAUCACUACCUCCUGCCCUUCUCCUCAGAAAAGGGAAAGCAGCCCUUGGGUAUCAGCCCACCCUGGAACAUCUAACCCCAGUGUAAGACUCUGAUGAGCCUUAACUUACCAGGGAUCCCACAAGUGAACAAUGCAGACCAGGAAUUGAUGCAAAAGCAAGAGGAAUUUAUUUUUCCAGUGUACUGGGGUCGUCCCAUACCCAAAAGAGAGCUGGCGACCCCUGGCAGUCCAUUUGGCAAGAUUUUAUACAGUCUCCAGGGGCAGAACAGAGCAUCAGCAACUAGGCACAAUAUGAUUGGUAGAACAGUGUCCCCUUUAAGCCUAUUGGUCUUUGGGGAAUGAGGUUGUUCGGACUUACUCAGCCUCUCCCUUCUGGUCUAUGUGCUCUUUGACCUGUCUUUCCCAAGAGGGGAGGGGUCCGGUAGAAUUUUCCAACAGCUCUAUGCUGACCUCUUCACCAUUCGGACUAAACACAUUCUCUCCCACUGAGACUCAACCAGGUUGUCCAGUUAGAGGAAGGGGAUCCAAUUGUAGGCAACAAAGUCAAGAGACUGCUCUUGUUCCAAUUGUUAGGGCAUCCACACGAAGUCCAAGCUGCACAUCUUCUACAAAUCUGUAAGGGGUCUAGGUUUAGCCCCUGCAUACUCUUUGGUCAUUCGGUCUAUAUGAGCCCGCAUGUACCCAGGUUAGUUGAUUCUGUGGGUCGUCUUGUAGUAGCCUUUACCCCUCCAACUUGUUCACUUCUAUCCCCCUCUCUUCCAAAGAACUAUCUGAGCUCCAUCUGAUGUUUAAAUGUGGGUCUCUGCAUCUGUUUCCAUCUGCUGGAUGAAGCCUCUUGGGCUACUAGAAUCCUAUGCUAGGUUCCUGUCUCUAAGCAUAGGAGAGUAUCUUGAAUAGUGUCAGGUGAAGGGACUCAAGUAGGUGCAGCUAUUUUUUUUAUUUAUUUAUUUAUUUAUUUUUUGCUUUUCCCUCAGUCUCUGCUCCAUAUUUAUUCCCGUGCAUCUUGUAGGCAGGACAAAUUUUGGUUUGAAGGUUUUGUGGGUAGAUUGAUGUUCCCCUUGUUCCCCUCCCUCCACUAGAAGUCCUGCCUGGCUACAGGCAGUAGCCACUUCAGUCUCUUUAUCCCAUGCUGGUAGGAAUCUCAGCUAGGGUCAUGUUCAUAGACUUCUUCAAGCCUGUCCCAGGCUCCAGCUAGUCCCAGAGGUGCCUUCCCCCAUUUCCGUUAUCAAUCCCAGCAUUCUCUUGCCCCUUUUCUCCACAUUUGAUCCCCAUCUUAAUUUCCCUCCUCACCUUUUCUCCAACCCAUUUCCCUUUCUUCAUCCAUCUCUGAUGACUAUUUUGUUUCCCCUUCUGACUGAGUUUCAAGCAUCCUCACUUGGGCCCUCUUUCUUACCCAGUCUCUUUGUCUCUGUGAAUUGUAGUAUGGUUAUCCUGCGGUUUAUAACUUAUAAGUAAGUAUAUGUCAUACAUAUCUUUGUGGGUCUGAGUUACCUCACUCAGGAUGAUAUUUUCAAGUACCAUCUAUUUGCCUUCAAAUUGUCUUUGUUUUUUAAUAACUGAAUAUCAUUGCAUUGUGUAGCUAUGCCACGUUUUCUUUAACCAUUCUUCAGUUGAGAGACAUCUAGGUUACUUUUAGUCUCUGGCUAUCACAAAGUUACUCUGAAUAUAGUUGAGCAAGAAUUCCUGUGGUAUAGGGGAGCAUCUUUUCGGUGUAUGCCAAGGAGUGGUGUAGCUGUGUCUCGGGGUAGAACAAUUUCCAAUUCUCUGAGAAGACAACAAAUUGGUUUCCAAAGUGGUUGUCCAAGUUUUUACCCCAACAACAAUUGAAGAGUGUUACCCUUUCCCCAUAGUCCCACCAGCAUGAGCUGUCACUUGAGGUUUUGAUCUUAGCCAUUAACACUUCCAAGCCAAUCAGCUCUGAUCAAAAUUAUCUAAAUCUCAAGUACUUCAGCUGAGUUGUAAUUAUUUGAUGAUUUCUCUGUUUUGACCUAGUGAAUAGCUGGUAGAAUUAUACAGCUUUAACAGUGACAAAAUUCUUGUGUUAGGUCACAUAUAAAAAUUUUAAAGUUAUGUAUAUUAUAAACAUUCAGCUGUAGAGUAGGGUUGAGACAUUUUUAUUAAUCAUUUAAAAAUGUAGUGGUUCAGCAGAUUAACAGGGCAUAGAAAAGAUCACAUUUUUUUUUACAGUCAUCAACAUAUAUUCUGUCAAAAUAGAAAGUAAAUGAAUUUUAAAAAAAUUUCCACUCAACAUUUAAGAAUAUCACAUUGCACUUCCUAUUACCUGCUCCUAACAACUAAGGUACAAAAAAUAAAAUGAAAAUAUAUUUAGAUUUAAGUGUACUUUUAAACAACUAAGACUGAUGAGAUUAGCAUAAUAAUUUUUAAAUGAAUUCCUUGGUCCUUGGGAUUCAUUCUUCUAAAAGAUUCAACAGGCAUAGAUGUCUAUUACAUUAGGAGGUCAUUUUAACGUGUAUUAUCUUUAAGACCCUGCAAAAAAUUUAUAUGCUAUAAAGUCUUAUUUGAGAGGUGUUAGGUAAAUUCUAUUAUGUGUAUUUAAAAAUGUUUUGUCUUAUAGAAUAGAAAAGCUAUUGGAAAGGAUUAAAUGAUGACAAUUUACCUUCAGAAUGUUUGGAAGAAAGAUUGCUGUUUGUUCCUGCAAAGGAAAAUUGCAGCUAUAAUUUUAGUGAGGUGAAUUUUAUUAAAUUUAAGAAAUGUUUUAGGUUACAUUUCUGUACAUUCGAAUUGAUGUAAGAAUUCCCAAAAUCCCAUAGUAGGCUUCUCUUCAUAUACUUUCAUUAAUACUAUUGUAAAGAGCUAAAUUAACUGCAGAAUAAUAAAAAUAAAGCAGAUAAUCUAACGUUCACUGGAGUCUGGCAGCUGAUUCACCAUUGUGAUGGGUGGAUAAGAGUGGAGCCGCGUGCUUUCCUGCCCACUCUCCACUUAAGGAGCAUUUCAUAUUACAUGUCAACUUUGAAUUCCCAGCCAAUUCUCACUUCGAUCAGCUUCACUUACCUUGAUUUUUGUUGACAAAAUGGUAAUUUCCCUAUAUUCUCUAUCUGAACUUUUACUGCACAAACCUGUUCUAAGUAUUACAUUCAAAAUUAAAUAUGAUCUAGAAGUCUUAAGAAAUACAGGUGUCUUGCUUAUGGAAGCAAGUCUAAGUCAAUUAGUGCUGGUAUCGCUUUGACAUCAUACGUCUUAGGAACUAACUAAUGUAUAAUUAUAUCUUACAAAAUGUUUUAGGAAAUCUAUUUUACUUUUUAUAGUUACUAUUUAGUCUCAUAACUAUGUUGUCUCCUCAUUAGAUAUUAUUUAAAAUGCAAAGAAAAACAAAUUGAAUGUUAGAACAAUUGGGUGACUAGCCUAAGAUUAAUACUACUAGUUCAAUGAAGCCAUAGCAUUUUAUACAAGAUUUAUUUAUUGCUGGAAGACUCUUAGUAUUUUGAAGCAAGCUGCGUCUGUAUUGAAUGAAUAAGACAUAUAGUAAAAUCCAUUUUAUGCUGUCAAAAUCUUCAUAAAAAUAGAUAUUGUUUAUAUAAGUGUAUACAUGUAUUAAUUACAUUCUACAUCUAGGAAUAUGAAAAUAAAGCGGUACAUUUGAGUAAAAAUUGGUAUGUUCUUUUUUCUUUCUUCCUUUUUUUUUCAAGACAGGGUUUCUCUGUGUAGUUCUGGCUGUCCUGGAACUCACUCUGUAGACCAGGCUGGCCUCGAACCCAGAAAUCCACCUGCCUCUGCCUCCCAAGUGCUAGGAUUAAAGGCGUGCGCCACCAUGCCUGGCUGGUAUGUUAUUUUAACCUGACCGAUAAAGCUGUAAUGUUUAUUUGAGGGUAUAUGUAUUGGCAUAAAAUACAUAACUGGGUGUUUUUGUAACAGUAAUCUUUAGAGACAGAAGUAGGGGGCUCAAGCCUUUGAUUUAUAGCAAGUUUGACCUGGGCAAAUGGGAUCCUGAUUCAAAAUACACAUGAAUACACACAUAGAAUGAAUGGCUGUUCUAGUAUGUCCCACUUGAUUUUCAUUGUAAAUUUGAACUUUUGGUGGUAUGAAAUACAUCUGAAUCCUGCAAUGAAAAUAAAGCCUUUAUGGCUGAAGAGAUGAAGCAGCACUAAAACCACAAAUGCUCUUGUACAGGACCUGAGUUUGAUUCCGACCAAUUGCAUCAGGGGAUGUUUAAGUGCCUAUACCUCCUACUCCAGGGGCAUCAGAUACCUCUGGCCUCUGUGGGGACCUGCAUUAAGGUACACAUACCUAAACCAGAAUAUGUACAUAUGCUUAACGAAAAGCAAAUCUUUUAAAAUCACACCUCUUUGGGCUAAUUUAAAUAAGGAAUGGACUGCCACUUAAAAAACUUCUAAGAGUUGUUAAAAGUUAUUUUUUUUUCUUUCAAUAUAUGUUCAUUUAAAUUUUUGAAUGUUAUAUUGACCAUUACUUUAAAUUUCAGGCUCCUUUCUCCUUACAGGAUAUCCCAGGCUUGUUGGCAUUUGGCAUUGGUUUGUUGAUUAAAGUACAUCAUAACUUAGAAAGAUGAGUACUCUGAUAUAUUAUGUUGUACAAAGCUGACAAAGGUAGAAUGGCUUAACAAUACUUAUCCAAUGCAAGUGUAGAAACACUGAAGAGAAGGUGUAUAUAAUAGGUAAUGGUCCACUUUGUAGAAAGCCAUUUGGGAUUGCUUACUUCAAUCAAUGUAACUAGAUAUAUACAUGAACUAAAACAAACCAUUUAGACAUUCAUGGAUUCUAAAAAAAAAUGUGCAUAAAGAAACCAUUCAUAAUGUGAGAACUGAAAACAAUCAAAUUCCUAUAAGAUGUAGAAAGAAUAACCUAAAUAAAAUUAUCAUCAGAAACCCAUGGAACUGAAAAAAUAAAACUAUUUCAAUGGCAUGAUAUAGAUGAAUUUUAAACAUAUAAUUUUGAGUGAAAGACAGUAAAAAUGCAUACCACAGAUAUGAAACCCAGUCAUUGACAGAAUGAGGGCACAAGAGAGCAAGCUGGGUGUUGAAAAUAAUUUGUACUGAACAGGGAGAUUCUGAGGACAGUCCUAUAAAGCACAACUUUUCCACAAUGGGUACAAAUUUUUGCAUGUAAAUUAUAACUCCAGCAAAGUACAGUGUGUAUGAAUAUGUCCAUGUUUGUCAACUUACAGAUUUUUUCUAAAGGAUAAAGAUUCUGGAGAAAAUAAACUUAGAAGAAGGUAACUAUUUGUAUGAUGGAAAGGACAACAAAGUGGCCUCAAAGGAUUUUGAAUUAGUACUCCACAUGGUUAUGUGGCUUACAAGAGUGUGGCCCAAGGAAAUGGGAUUUUGAUUGUUGAUAACUGUUUAUAUAAUGCACUUGAAAUAUUGAUAUUUAAAAUUAUCUUAUUUAUAAAUUCAUAUUUUUAAUUUUAGGGAAAUUUUAUGAACUAUCUUAUUUGGUGAAAUGUAAAAAUUUUUUUUUAUUUAAGAUAAGUAUGUCAAAGUAAUUAUUGACUUUGAGUUUUAUCACAAUAUUCCUUAAAACCACGAGCUAGAGAGGAGUAUUUUGCAUGAUCAAAAAAAAAAAAAAAAAAAA